rfam:Dipodomys ordii contig_4722, whole genome shotgun sequence.
UGGCUCAGUGGUAGAGCGCUUGCCUUGCACGCAUGAGGCCCUGGGUUCGAUUCCUCAG